rnacentral:rRNA from 1 species
GACAGAGGGUGCAAACGUUGUUCGGAAUUACUGGGCGUAAAGCGUGUGUAGGCGGUCUCAUAAGUCGGAUGUGAAAGCCCCGGGCUCAACCCGGGAAGUGCAUUCGAAACUGCGAGGCUAGAGUAUCGGAGAGGUUGGUGGAAUUCUCGGUGUAGAGGUGAAAUUCGUAGAUAUCGAGAGGAACACCGGUGGCGAAGGCGGCCAACUGGACGAAUACUGACGCUGAGACGCGAAAGCGUGGGGAGCAAACAGG